rnacentral:rRNA from 1 species
UAGGGAAUCUUCGGCAAUGGACGAAAGUCUGACCGAGCAACGCCGCGUGAGUGAAGAAGGUUUUCGGAUCGUAAAACUCUGUUGUUAGAGAAGAACAAGGACGUUAGUAACUGAACGUCCCCUGACGGUAUCUAACCAGAAAGCCACGGCUAACUACGUGCCAGCAGCCGCGGUACUACGUAGGUGGCAAGCGUUGUCCGGAUUUAUUGGGCGUAAAGCGAGCGCAGGCGGUUUCUUAAGUCUGAUGUGAAAGCCCCCGGCUCAACCGGGGAGGGUCAUUGGAAACUGGGAGACUUGAGUGCAGAAGAGGAGAGUGGAAUUCCAUGUGUAGCGGUGAAAUGCGUAGAUAUAUGGAGGAACACCAGUGGCGAAGGCGGCUCGCUGGUCUGUAACUGACGCUGAGGCUCGAAAGCGUGGGGAGCAAACAGG